GAGCUUGCUCCCGGAUGUUAGCGGCGGACGGGUGAGUAACACGUGGGUAACCUGCCUGUAAGACUGGGAUAACUCCGGGAAACCGGAGCUAAUACCGGAUAGUUCCUUGAACCGCAUGGUUCAAGGAUGAAAGACGGUUUCGGCUGUCACUUACAGAUGGACCCGCGGCGCAUUAGCUAGUUGGUGGGGUAAUGGCUCACCAAGGCGACGAUGCGUAGCCGACCUGAGAGGGUGAUCGGCCACACUGGGACUGAGACACGGCCCAGACUCCUACGGGAGGCAGCAGUAGGGAAUCUUCCGCAAUGGACGAAAGUCUGACGGAGCAACGCCGCGUGAGUGAUGAAGGUUUUCGGAUCGUAAAGCUCUGUUGUUAGGGAAGAACAAGUGCGAGAGUAACUGCUCGCACCUUGACGGUACCUAACCAGAAAGCCACGGCUAACUACGUGCCAGCAGCCGCGGUAAUACGUAGGUGGCAAGCGUUGUCCGGAAUUAUUGGGCGUAAAGGGCUCGCAGGCGGUUUCUUAAGUCUGAUGUGAAAGCCCCCGGCUCAACCGGGGAGGGUCAUUGGAAACUGGGAAACUUGAGUGCAGAAGAGGAGAGUGGAAUUCCACGUGUAGCGGUGAAAUGCGUAGAGAUGUGGAGGAACACCAGUGGCGAAGGCGACUCUCUGGUCUGUAACUGACGCUGAGGAGCGAAAGCGUGGGGAGCGAACAGGAUUAGAUACCCUGGUAGUCCACGCCGUAAACGAUGAGUGCUAAGUGUUAGGGGGUUUCCGCCCCUUAGUGCUGCAGCUAACGCAUUAAGCACUCCGCCUGGGGGAGUACGGUCGCAAGACUGAAACUCAAAGGAAUUGACGGGGGGCCCGCACAAGCGGUGGAGCAUGUAGUUUAAUUCGAAGCAACGCGAAGACCUUACCAGGUCUGGACAUCCUCUGACAACCCUAAGAUAGGGCUUUCCCUUCGGGGACAGAGUGGACAGGUGGUGGCAUGGUGUCGUCAGCCU
rnacentral:rRNA from 2 species